AACGAACGCUGGCGGCAGGCUUAACACAUGCAAGUCGAACGCCCCGCAAGGGGAGUGGCAGACGGGUGAGUAACGCGUGGGAAUCUACCCAGUUCUACGGAACAACACAGGGAAACUUGUGCUAAUACCGUAUACGCCCUACGGGGGAAAGAUUUAUUGGAAUUGGAUGAGCCCGCGUGGGAUUAGCUAGUUGGUGGGGUAAUGGCCUACCAAGGCGACGAUCCAUAGCUGGUCUGAGAGGAUGAUCAGCCAAACUGGGACUGAGACACGGCCCAGACUCCUACGGGAGGCAGCAGUGGGGAAUAUUGGACAAUGGGCGCAAGCCUGAUCCAGCCAUGCCGCGUGAGUGAUGAAGGCCUUAGGGUUGUAAAGCUCUUUCAGUGGGGACGAUAAUGACGGUACCCACAGAAGAAGCCCCGGCUAACUUCGUGCCAGCCGCCGCGGUAACAC
rnacentral:rRNA from 1 species